rnacentral:rRNA from 1 species
UACAGAGGGUGCGAGCGUUAAUCGGAAUUACUGGGCGUAAAGCGCGCGUAGGCGGCUUUGCAAGCCGGGUGUGAAAUCCCCAGGCUUAACCUGGGAACUGCAUUCGAGACUGCAUUGCUAGAGUAUGGGAGAGGGAAGUGGAAUUUCAGGUGUAGCGGUGAAAUGCGUAGAUAUCUGAAGGAACAUCAGUGGCGAAAGCGACUUCCUGGACCAAUACUGACGCUCAUGUGCGAAAGCGUGGGGAGCAAACAGG